rnacentral:rRNA from 1 species
UGCGUAGGUGGCGGGGUAAGUCUGGUGUGAAAGCUCCGAGCUCAACUCGGAAAAGCAUUGGAAACUAUCCCGCUGGAGGGUCGGAGGGGAGACUGGAAUUCUCGGUGUAGCAGUGAAAUGCGUAGAUAUCGAGAGGAACACCAGUGGCGAAGGCGAGUCUCUGGACGACUCCUGACACUGAGGCACGAAAGCUAGGGAGCAAACA